GCCGUGGGGAACAGAUGGUGAGGACACAGCUCCACGAUGACAAACGGGUCGCUGAGGCCUAGGAAAGCACGAAUUUGGAGAUAAAUCCAGUAACAGAUAACAACCGAAAAUAUCAGUAAGUAGAGAUACUAGAUUUGGAAAAGAAAUGGCAGUAGUAAACACAGCAGAAACUAAAUAGUUCCAACAUUUUAUGAAAACUUUCCCAUCAGAAUCAACACACAAUGCAACUAAUUUGUUACAAUUUAAAAUUUGCCACAAUUGGUUAAAAUAUGCAACAAACACCAGAUGUAAGAAAGACCAAUAAAAUUCAGGAUGCAAAUGUUAUGAAAUCAUUACUUUUCUUCAUUUUUUUUUUACCGUUAGCAUCCAGGGCAAUGAGGUCAGCUGCAUGCAGUAUCUCCACAGUGAGUCUUUGCUCAGGGGCAUCAUAGUAACACUUCACACUGAUACGACCAAAACGACUGUGCUUUAAGAUUCUCUGUAAAGAAAAUGCAUCUGUUAAAGAUUACCAUCUAUAGCACAGAAUACAUAUAACAUUCACAUCAAGUUUAGAACUAAUAACACAUUAGGCAACGUUGAAACUCUACAAUUGCUUUAAGUGGAAAUGUUUCUAACAGGUUGUGCCUCAAAAGCAAGUGAAAUAGCAUUUUUGAGCCCCAUAGAUGUGUAACUGGUGUGAAAAUUGUCUCAAAUUGUAGGUGAUGAAAUGAUGCUACUUUUUGAGAUUGGCCGACCACACAGUGUCCAAAAUUUGUGGCAACCCUGCAUGUAUCUCCCAUGUAUAUAGUGAUAUUUAGUUAUUGGAUAAAUCUUACUUGAGGUCAUGUCGGAAUGAUCAUAUUUACCUUACAUGAACACCACCACCGGUUUUUAUUUUAACCCUGAUUUUCCAGAUACAUGGAUGCCAGUUUAGAAGAAAAUUUAUUUUGUGUGCAUUUGCUGUAAUGUUCAUGAAGUAAAGCUAUAAAGCUUGCCAUGAAACGCUACUCAUUUAGAUAAAUCAUGAAGCUACACGUGAAAAAGGAGGACAAGAAAUAUAAAAUUGCCUUAAGUUUUCAUACCCAGGCAAAAUCACUUGAAUUCCCACAUUAACUUCUAAAUUCUUAGCUCGGUUUUCUCCUUGCAACAAAGCCAAGAACCCACGAGCCAACGUGUGUUAAGAACUCUGAAGCUCGCAUAUACAGCUACGCACGUAACAUAACUAUUAAAGAACUGACUAGCUUAGCAACAUGCUAACAACAACUGUGGGACAUGCUUUUCGUGUACUUGACGUGAGGAAUGAAAUUUGUUUAGCAGCAAACUUUUUUUUAAAGAAGUUAACAAAGUUGCUGCCUAUGAAAGCAGUUCAGAUCAGACAUUUAUGAGGUUCGGUUGGGUUUCAUAACAUGCUGGUUUUGCAGACAUCUGCCCCCGUAGGCAGCAGACAGCAAGUCAGCUUAGCAGGAUUUGAGACACAGUCAGAGGCUGCGAAAUCUUUCACAGUGCAAAGAACGCUUAGUCAAAGAGGAAAUGACUGAUGUAAACUUUUAAUCAUCAGAGGAAGGAAUAGUAUUUGUGAUGUCUUAGCUCCUAAUCAACUCCUCCUCUCUCUGCAGGGCUGGAGCUAAAAGCUGUGGCGGCUCAGCAGGACUCCUACCCACCUGCUGGGAGAUUUUCUCCAGGAAAUACUGUUCGAUCAGCUCAAAGGAGGAGCAUUUGUUCAGACGCAGCUCCUCCUCCAGGGCCUGAUGGGAAGGAAGAGGGAAGGCGGAUGAAGCCAUGCUUACUCAUUUCGUCAGCCACAUUGUUUAAAGACUCCAGCAGACAUGCAGACUCUCGUAACAUGCUCUUGAGACUUGUUAUGCUAAUAGACCAACUAUAUAGUGAAUAACAUGUUCAACCCACGCGCUCGCUCGGCACUUCAUGAGUUUUCAUGUAAAUCUGUGGUGAGUUCCUGCCAGUUCUUCUCUGUUGGAAUAAUGGAUCUCACAUAUUGACAUGCUGCUGGGGACGUCCUAAGUUCUCCACUGAGCUGUGGUCAAAAGCACUGGCGAAAAUCUGACGGUGUCAGGCAUGAUGUAACACCGUGACUGUGAAUGCAAACUGAGAGAAUCCAGACAUGAGGAUCACUGCCCUUUGCUGUCACAGAGUUCUUGUAAUAAACCGCCAGCUGGCAAAACACAUA